UUCGCUCUCAUUUUACGGUGAGAAGCCUGGCUCUGUGUUUGAAGGAGUCUGUGAGGGUCAACAAGAACCAUUGCACUGUGCAGUGUCCUACACUAUGCUCCAUGUUUGCCCCAAUCAAGGCUGCAUAAGAAGGCUGAGUUUUGGAGGGUCAGGUCAUUUUAGAAGUGAUCCCAUAAGAGGAUAAUUAUCACAUCUGGAAUUGCAUCAGCAAAACUAAUCUAUUUUAAUUGUUUCUGUAUCAGUGAACUGCAGCACAAGAUUUUUUUUUACUAGCCACAAAACAAAUCUAAUCAACUGCCAAUCACUGUAGUAAGUUGGAGCUGCCUAUGUAGAGACAUCAUUGCAUCUUGCAGCAAGGAGUUGGAAAAGCUUGUCUUCAUACAACUCUGG